CCCAGCUAUGGAGAUAUGGUGCCUAGUACCAUUGCUGGCAAGAUUUUUGGGUCUAUUUGUUCACUCAGUGGCGUUUUGGUCAUUGCCCUGCCUGUACCAGUCAUUGUAUCCAAU
rfam:Dipodomys ordii contig_64249, whole genome shotgun sequence.